AUGAGAAGAGCCUGUCAUUUAGCCAAGAUGAUUGCCUGAAGCCAGAAAAAGGUUCUGAGCAUAUGCAGCCUAAAUUUGAAACAUCUUUCAAGGGCUAACGAGCAAGUCAUCCUUGGCUAGAAAACAGCACUCUUAUCU
rfam:Populus trichocarpa scaffold_7_contig_57, whole genome shotgun sequence.